UAGUCUGCUUUUAAUUAUAGAAAUUUUUUAUUUCCCCUUGGAUUAUUACAGACAGUUUUGCUUGAUGUAAUAGUCUCUGUUGGCAAUUGUGGUGUAUUUUUGUUGUUGUUGUUGUUGUUGUUGUUGUUGUUGUUGUUGUUUUCAGGACUUGGAAUACAUCUUUUCAGACCCUUCUGGAUUUAAAGAUUUCUGUUGAAUCUUCAACUGUUGUUCUAAUGGGCCUGUCUCUUGAUACACAGAAGCAAUCAGCUUCCCAUUUGCUCAUCUUAAUAUCUAUGUUUCACUUGUCUUCAAGUGCCAGAAGAACUUCAAAUGUCGUGAGGAAUGUCCAUUUUACAAUACUUUGUGAACAAUCUGGGGGCAUGAGGACUUUGGACCCACUCCUGAUCAGGUGACCAUCCCUAAGUAUUGUAUAUAUCGCAAUGAAAAAUGUGUAUAAACAAAAGGACUACAGAAGUAGCCAAGAGAGAGAGAAACUGAAAUCCAUCUCACCUAAAAGCUCUUUCAGAUUUUUACAAAAGCCUUGCACAGAUUCUGCAUUAUGACCCUGUCACUGCCUAGAAGAACACAUGACCAAUAAUGAAAGCCACUAACAAAGACAAGAAGAGCAGGGUGUGACUCAUCUGACUGGUUCAUCAACAUCAUUUAAGUAUCUACUCACUUAAAAGAACUAACACCCUCGGAUUUCCAAGUUCACACAGCAGAUUUUGCAUACAGAACAGUGUGAUAUUGUCACCUGUAGGACAAAUAUGCUCUCCCAAAGUUUUUGACGCUGGAGUUUUCUCUACAGGUUUUAUUACUGGUAACUCAAGUGGAUAACUUCAGGACUGGAGAAGUGGGCCAGUGGGUAAAGUGACUGCUGUGUAAGCAUGAAGACCUGAGUUCAGAUCCCCAGUACCUACAUAAAAGAUGCAUCAAAAUUACAGCUUUCUUCAACUUUCUAAGAGUACAACUUAAGUAAGACCCUCUCUGAAAACUGCCCGGCAGUCAGGAAGGAAGGACACUGGGUGUGAACUCAAGAAGAGGAGCAAUUUUUUGGAGCUCUACCAAGAAGAUGAAAUGAACCUUUUAAUUUUACACUGGGUUAUUUCAAAAGGCCUAUUUUAAAGGAUGCUUAUAAAGAGAAAUCCAAGGGAGUCUGCUUAAGGGAUCCCUAAUAAGCUUAGGGAGUUUAUUAGGACAUUAAACUGGAGAAAACAACUCACUAAACAGAAUGGGCAAAAUCAUCACAGAGUCCUGGAAGGUUGAUGUCCUGUCCCACCCUGCUCCUGCUGCCUGAGUCAGUCUAUACCAGCCAAGCCCACAAGGGAGCAAAGACACCAGGCCUAUGUGCCCCUCAGCUUAAGGUAGCCCUGAGGCCACACACUAGGGGCUAGCGCUUCAAGGCCACAAGUGGAACAAGUACCCACUACAGAUCCUGAGUGACAUUCACCUGGAGGAGUGGAGUAUCUGUUCAGGAAAACAUUAAGAACCUACUAUGGUGAUAUUUUAUUUGUACUGAAAUGUGAUUUUAUUUGUAUGUUAAUAAAUAAAGUUGCUUGGGGGU